GAUGAACGCUGGCGGCGUGCCUAAUACAUGCAAGUCGAGCGAACAGACGAGGAGCUUGCUCCUCUGACGUUAGCGGCGGACGGGUGAGUAACACGCGGAUAACCUACCUAUAAGACUGGGAUAACUUCGGGAAACCGGAGCCAAUACCGGAUAAUAUAUUGAACCGCAUGGUUCAAUAGUGAAAGACGGUUUUGCUGUCACUUAUAGAUGGAUCCGCGCCGCAUUAGCUAGUUGGUAAGGUAACGGCUUACCAAGGCAACGAUGCGUAGCCGACCUGAGAGGGUGAUCGGCCACACUGGAACUGAGACACGGUCCAGACUCCUACGGGAGGCAGCAGUAGGGAAUCUUCCGCAAUGGGCGAAAGCUUGACGGAGCAACGCCGCGUGAGUGAUGAAGGUCUUCGGAUCGUAAAACUCUGUUAUUAGGGAAGAACAAAUGUGUAAGUAACUAUGCACGUCUUGACGGUACCUAAUCAGAAAGCCACGGCUAACUACGUG
rnacentral:rRNA from 1 species